GCAACUUGAACAUACAGAUUUCAUCAGAUUUUAGAAGCUAAGCAGGCGCUUGCCUGGUUAGUUCUUGGAUGGGAGGCCACCAGAGAAGCCCAGGGC
rnacentral:rRNA from 1 species